GAAAAGACUCACUGGCCAAUACAUAGAUCGAAAUGUAUUUGUUGAUCCAGUUUUUUGGUGUCAGGGUGUGAAGAUGUUCAUGUUUAUUUCCUUCUUCCAGAUCCAGUUUUUCCCUUUUGAUCUAUAAUCUGAGACUGCAAAAGUUACAUUUUCUGAUUAAAGCUGCUGAUAUAUACUCAAAAUUUACAAGCACGAGUUUUGAGUUUUUAACAAUUUAAAGACAUGAAGCGGCUCCGAAUGUGCAGACAGAUGGUGAAAACCAAGUUACAUGGCUAUUAUAAUAUGCUAACAUUUUGGGCAAUUGAAAUCAUCAUCAAAUAUUCAGCAACAUGCCCAACAACAAACUUUGCAGCCUGUUUUACAAGAAGUGAAGUUAAUGACAAAUGCAUUAAGAAG